UACACACCAUAUAGGGACCUGC
rnacentral:siRNA from 1 species